AGGUGGCGCUUACCUUGCGGGCGGGGCUUCAGGCGCGCUCCCUAGGUCCCCGCCGGACACCGCCCCCGCCGCCUGGUACUGCAGAGGCUGCGCAGCGGGUAGCCAGAACCGGGACUCCCAGUCCACCUGCGCCAGAGCACGAGGCCGCGCCCAUCAUGCAUGUCGGGCCUGGCGCGCCCCCUGGCUGAAGGGCUUACCUGGGCUUACCGAGUCACCACAGACACUCCUCUUUUUAUGACUCCCAGCUGGAACCUGAGUCAGAAGUGGGAGACUGGAGGUGGAGGUGGAGGUGGGGUCUCUGUGCCCUGCAUGGUCAACAAAUCGCACUCAAGCUGUGGGGAACAAUGAGCAAGCCCCUUUGCCUGUCUGGACCUCAGUUUUCUCCAUCUGUGGAAUGGGUCAAAGCCAAGUGACUGCGGUGGGAUAAGAGCCCUCACAGUGAGUCCCUAGCACAGCCUGAUUGUGAUUAGAGAGCCCAACAAAAACAGGGACAUGUCCUUUGCUGCAGGCUGUCAGCUUACUGGAUACCAGGACAAUUCUUCGGACGGAAAGUCAGUUCACGUGGGCUGACUCAUACGUAAACCCGAGUUGCUCCCCCCUUCCUGGAGCUCCCCAUAGUUUCCUCUUGGCAAGAGGGGAAGCUGAGUUCUGGAAGCAGGCACAGAAAAGGGUCCAGGGUGAUUGACUCAUUGAGUCUUCUUGCUCCCGAGUCACCCCUAGAGCCUCUCCUGCCCAAUGGGUAGCCCCACCCUGUGGUCACCCCAGGAGGACAGGCUCCCAUGACUCCAUGCUACCCUCCCUAGACUGUGGUAUGCACCUGUACAGUUGUGUAUGUUGCCAAAAUAUAGACAACUCCCACUACAGUUAAA